CCUUUGGGAGGUACUUAGGAUUAGAUGAAGUCUGACAGCGGGACUGUCACACUGAAGUCAGUGCCCUCAUAAGAAGAGGCACCAGAGAGCUCACUCCACCAUAGCCCCAGCACACAAACAGGAGGUCAUGUGAGUAAACAGUAAUGGCAGCCUCCUACAAGCCAAGAGAAGAGGCCUCAGGAUGAGACCUGCCUUGCCAGCACCUUGAUCUUGGACUUCCCAGCCUACCGAACUGAGCUUACAGUCCAGCGGAGGAGCCAAAGAAGUAAAAAGAGAUCUGCAAAAUGAAAGUAUCACAAGAGAGGUCAACUCAAGAUGCUAUUUCCCAUCAGAACAGAAGUCACCCUUGACUAAAACCACAACUUUAAACUUGGCCCAACAUCCAGUGCCUUGUCCCCAGGGGUGCAAAUAUGGACUGGAAAGGACCCCAAUUUAUCUGCCCUGCCCUGAGGUCUGGGCUGGGAUAUAGCCCAGGUCUCAUCUAUCCUGAGGGGCCUUCCAGAUGGACACAUGGACAGCCAGUUCUGGCCCCCUGACUUACUCCUCUGUAGUGAAAACAGACUCAGUAAACACAAGCUGAAUUAAACUGGCC
rnacentral:lncRNA from 10 species